CAAAUCUUUUUUCUCUUUAUCAAUGGGAGUUUUACAUUUUAUACAGUGGGUUGAUUUUCAUUCUGGGUUUUUGUCAUUUGAUGUCAAUACAUCGACACAACUGUUAGAUUUGUUGUUAAGUGGCCGAUGACACUCGGGUACAUGUGACCCACACCUGUACGUUCUGCAUGAUAGAGAGAGAUUGAAAGAUAAGUGAACACUAAGACUAAUGGAUAAGAAUGAACAGUGAAAGGGAGAAGAAGGGUUUUUUUUUUUUUUCUUUCGCUUUGUUGUUGUGCUUGACAGGUUGGGGGUGGGUUUUUAUUAACUGAAAACGGCAUGCUUGUGGAAUUUCAAGGCCUUACUUUUGGUACUUUUUUUCCCUAAAUGGGUGUUUAGUCUUGUUUUCAGAUCUGACUCGUACCUUCAAUUUUUUUUUUUUGUUUCUAAGUGAAACAGUUUCCUUAUAUGGCAAAAGCUUUACCUUCUUUGGGACAGAGAAAUUGACAGAAGAGAGUGAGCACACAGAGGUAUUUGUAUAAAGCUUAUACUAAUGCUUUUGCGUGCUCACUCCUCUUUCCGUCAGCUUCCAGUGCCGGGAUUUGAUUUUUAAUUCUCCAUUUUGGUCAUAACUCGGCCUGUUUUUGUUCCAUAUACUCUCUCUCUCCCUCUAUUCUCAGAAUAGUUCAAUUUGACUGGCACCAAUGAAGGUGGUAUGCCCUACUGACGGCCUGACUGUAUCUUUUGUUUAUGAUUUAUGUUAUUAACAAGCGUGGCUUUUGAUGUUAUUCACUGUUGAGGUAUAAGCUUGAUUGAUUAUUGUGCAGGUUUAGUGGCAAAACGAUGAAUAUGGGACCAUUCACGUUAUCCCUUGCCUACUAAUAGCUAGUAUGGUCCUCCCUCAACAAAACCCUCUUUCUCUUUCUGCAAUUUUCUUCUUGUUGGAAGACACUGAUUUUCAGUUUUUGCAACACUGGAUCAAGGUUUGUUCUUUCUGGUACUUAGUUCUUGUUGUGUAUCAAAACAACACUGUACUUUGUUGUACUCUUUAUUAUUUCUUGUAUCUCCAAAAGCAUUUUCAGCUCUACAAUUGACUGUAGUAAGGCAACGACUUCCAUGCAAUCAACAAAUAUAAUGUUUUCUUUUAGGAAAUGAAACCAUUUUCAUGGAUGUUUGCACUUUUAA